GGUCCAAGUUGAAAUGAAAUCAAUUAUGAGAACAAAUAGCAUAGUUCUAUCACUAAUGAAUGGAUUUAGCAUUGUUUCCCAUAUUCCUACCACUUAAAAUGGAAGAAACAGAGCAAAUGUGGUGUACAGAAAGCUCAAACAGUCCAUGCUAAUGGUGGAAAUGCUUAAGUAUCAUCCAUAUACAGCUAAUAUAAACCAAAGUGGUUUAUUGCCACGGUUUUGUGAUUUA
rnacentral:lncRNA from 1 species